rnacentral:rRNA from 1 species
AUGCUAAUUAACCCCUUUGCUUCUUCCUCCUCUCCGGUCGCCCGCCGGCAGGAACUAGCCCAGCGCGCCGUCGGCAGCCACCGUACAGCCCAGCGCGCUGCCGCCCACCUCCGUCGCCGUUGCACCGCCGCCCACCUGCGCUGCCGCUGCCAAUCUGUGGCGCCCCUGCCCACCUACGCCGCCCACACAGAGGCGAGCUGGGCUGCCACCCGCACGGAGGCGACUGCUCCUCCGCGGCGACCAACUGGACGCGCGCCUCCUCCACGGCUGACGGCACUUCCCUCGUCACCCUGCUCGCGUCCCCAGCCGGUGCGGCCCGCGCCCUCACCCUCUGCUCGCUUCCUCGCGCCCGUGGCCGCCGGUGCGGGAUUUGGGCAAGUCCCCGACCGUCGCUUCCUUCUGCGCCGCCGCCAUCCCCUCCAGCCUCUGAUGCUGCUGCUGCUGGACGACGCCGACGCCCCCCUGAUCAAGUUCUCGACGUCUGAUGCUGUUGCUCCUCCUCGUCGUCUGAGUCCUCUGCCCCGCCUCUGCUGUUGA